GUGGGGAAUCUUGCGCAAUGGGCGAAAGCCUGACGCAGCCAUGCCGCGUGAAUGAUGAAGGUCUUAGGAUUGUAAAAUUCUUUCACCGGGGACGAUAAUGACGGUACCCGGAGAAGAAGCUCCGGCUAACUUCGUGCCAGCAGCCGCGGUAAUACGAAGGGGGCUAGCGUUGCUCGGAAUUACUGGGCGUAAAGGGCGCGUAGGCGGACAGCUUAGUCAGAGGUGAAAGCCCAGGGCUCAACCUUGGAAUUGCCUUUGAUACUGGCUGUCUUGAGUUUGGGAGAGGUGAGUGGAACUCCGAGUGUAGAGGUGAAAUUCGUAGAUAUUCGGAAGAACACCAGUGGCGAAGGCGACUCACUGGCUCGAUACUGACGCUGAGGUGCGAAAGCGUGGGGAGCAAACAGGAUUAGAAACCCCGGUAGUCC
rnacentral:rRNA from 1 species